CUACGGGGCGCUGCAGUGAGGAAUAUUGCGCAAUGGGCGAAAGCCUGACGCAGCAACGCCGCGUGGAUGAUGAAGGCCUUCGGGUUGUAAAAUCCUUUUUUGGGGAACGAUAAUGACGGUACCUCAAGAAUAAGUCCCGGCUAACUACGUGCCAGCAGCCGCGGUAAAACGUAGGGGGCGAGCGUUAUCCGGAUUUACUGGGCGUAAAGCGCACGUAGGCGGUGCCGUAAGUUGGAUGUGAAAGCUCCUGGCUUAACUGGGAGAGGUCGUUCAAAACUGCGGUGCUUGAGGAUAGAAGAGGAGAGUAGAAUUCCCGGUGUAGUGGUGGAAUGCGUAGAUAUCGGGAGGAAUACCAGUGGCGAAGGCGGCUCUCUGGUCUAUACCUGACGCUGAGGUGCGAAAGCGUGGGGAGCGAACGGGAUUAGAUACCCGGGUAGUC
rnacentral:rRNA from 1 species